rnacentral:rRNA from 1 species
UGGGGAAUAUUGCACAAUGGGGGAAACCCUGGUGCAGCGACGCCGCGUGAACGAAGAAGUAUUUCGGUAUGUAAAGUUCUAUCAGCAGGGAAGAUAAUGACGGUACCUGACUAAGAAGCACCGGCUAAAUACGUGCCAGCAGCCGCGGUAAUACGUAUGGUGCAAGCGUUAUCCGGAUUUACUGGGUGUAAAGGGAGCGCAGGCUGUUCUGCAAGUCAGCGGUGAAAGCCCGGGGCUCAACCCCGGAAAUGCCGUUGAUACUGCGGGGCUGGAAUACGGAUGCCGUGGGAGGAAUGAGUAGUGUAGCGGUGAAAUGCAUAGAUAUUACUCAGAACACCGAUUGCGAAGGCAUCUCACGAAUCCGUUAUUGACGCUGAGGCACGAGAGCGUGGGGAUCAAACAGGAUUAGAUACCCUGGUAGU